rnacentral:misc_RNA from 1 species
AUCGAUGCCAUGAAUCACGAUGAAUGGACUUUGAGGAAUCAGUAGGGUUGUCAAUGGCAAGACGAUAACUGGCAAAACAGUCCCAUUUGGACGAGGUUGUAUUGCGAGGGUCCAUAAUUUGAAGGUAUACAGAAAUAUAACCAGGCAAUGCCUGUGAGUCACCUUUAGGGUAAACUAGCAAACGGCAAUCGAAACCGCCGACUUCAAAGUACUUGCUCCAUAAGGCCCUAGCCUUUACUCUUGUAAAAUUGGCUAUUGCCCAUUUGCAAACGGCGCCGUAAGCACUCCGCCGCUCAACUGUGACAAACUCCG